UAAAAUAUUAAUGUAUAAUUUUUAUAUAUACUAUUACUU
rnacentral:tRNA from 1 species